rnacentral:rRNA from 1 species
UUAAAGAAAGCGUAAUAGCUCACUGGUCGAGUCGGCCUGCGCGGAAGAUGUAACGGGGCUAAGUAGUAAACCGAAGCUGCGGCAAUACUCUUUGAGUAUUGGGUAGGGGAGCGUUCUGUAAGCGGUUGAAGGUGUGUGGUAACGCAUGCUGGACGUAUCAGAAGUGCGAAUGCUGACAUGAGUAACGAUAAAGGGGGUGAAAAACCUCCUCGCCGGAAGACCAAGGGUUCCUGUCCAACGUUAAUCGGGGCAGGGUAAGUCGACCCCUAAGGCGAGGCCGAAAGGCGUAGUCGAUGGGAAACGGGUUAAUAUUCCCGUACUUCUUACAAUUGCGAUGGGGGG